rnacentral:rRNA from 1 species
UGGAAACGACUGCUAAGACUGGAUAGGAGACAAGAAGGCAUCUUCUUGUUUUUAAAAGACCUAGCAAUAGGUAUGCUUAGGGAGGAGCUUGCGUCACAUUAGUUAGUUGGUGGGGUAAAGGCCUACCAAGACUAUGAUGUGUAGCCGGGCUGAGAGGUUGAACGGCCACAUUGGGACUGAGACACGGCCCAAACUCCUACGGGAGGCAGCAGUAGGGAAUUUUCGGCAAUGGAGGAAACUCUGACCGAGCAACGCCGCGUGAACGAUGAAGUAUUUCGGUACGUAAAGUUCUUUUAUUAGGGAAGAAUAAAUGAUGGAAAAAUCAUUCUGACGGUACCUAAUGAAUAAGCCCCGGCUAACUAUGUGCCAGCAGCCGCGGUAAUACAUAGGGGGCAAGCGUUAUCCGGAAUUAUUGGGCGUAAAGGGUGCGUAGGCGGUUAAAUAAGUUUAUGGUCUAAGUGCAAUGCUCAACAUUGUGAUGCUAUAAAAACUGUUUAGCUAGAGUAAGAUAGAGGCAAGUGGAAUUCCAUGUGUAGUGGUAAAAUGCGUAAAUAUAUGGAGGAACACCAGUAGCGAAGGCGGCUUGCUGGGUCUUUACUGACGCUGAGGCACGAAAGCGUGGGGAGCAAACAGGAUUAGAUACCCUGGUAGUCCACGCCGUAAACGAUGAGUACUAAACGUUGGGUAAAACCAGUGUUGAAGUUAACACAUUAAGUACUCCGCCUGAGUAGUACGUACGCAAGUAUGAAACUUAAAGGAAUUGACGGGACUCCGCACAAGCGGUGGAUCAUGUUGUUUAAUUCGAAGGUACCCGAAAAACCUCACCAGGUCUUGACAUGCUUCUGCAAAGCUGUAGAAACACAGUGGAGGUUAUCAGUUGCACAGGUGGUGCAUGGUUGUCGUCAGCUCGUGUCGUGAGAUGUUGGGUUAAGUCCCGCAACGAGCGCAACCCUUAUUGUUAGUUACCAGCACGUAAUGGUGGGGACUUUAGCAAGACUGCCAGUGAUAAAUUGGAGGAAGGUGGGGACGACGUCAAAUCAUCAUGCCCCUUAUGACCUGGGCUACAAACGUGAUACAAUGGCUGUUACAAAGGGUAGCUGAAGCGCAAGUUUUUGGCGAAUCUCAAAAAAACAGUCUCAGUUCGGAUUGAAGUCUGCAACUCGACUUCAUGAAGUUGGAAUCGCUAGUAAUCGCGAAUCAGCAUGUCGCGGUGAAUACGUUCUCGGGGUUUGUACACACCGCCCGUCAA